GGGGAAUAUUGGGCAAUGGACGCAAGUCUGACCCAGCAACGCCGCGUGAAGGAAGAAGGCUUUCGGGUUGUAAACUUCUUUUAAGGGGGAAGAGUAGAAGACGGUACCCCUUGAAUAAGCCACGGCUAACUACGUGCCAGCAGCCGCGGUAAUACGUAGGUGGCAAGCGUUGUCCGGAUUUACUGGGCGUAAAGAGUAUGUAGGCGGACAUUUAAGUCAGAUGUGAAAUCCCCGGGCUUAACCUGGGAGCUGCAUUUGAUACUGGGUGUCUAGAGUGUAGGAGAGGAAAGUGGAAUUCCUAGUGUAGCGGUGAAAUGCGUAGAGAUUAGGAAGAACACCAGUGGCGAAGGCGACUUUCUGGACUAUAACUGACGCUGAGAUACGAAAGCGUGGGGAGCAAACA
rnacentral:rRNA from 1 species